rnacentral:miRNA from 1 species
UUUUGCAAUGCAUCACGGUCAGU